rnacentral:rRNA from 1 species
ACGGGUGAGUAAUGUCUGGGAAACUGCCUGAUGGAGGGGGAUAACUACUGGAAACGGUAGCCAAUACCGCAUAACGUCGCAAGACCAAAGAGGGGGACCUUCGGGCCUCUUGCCAUCAGAUGUGCCCAGAUGGGAUUAGCUAGUAGGUGGGGUAACGGCUCACCUAGGCGACGAUCCCUAGCUGGUCUGAGAGGAUGACCAGCCACACUGGAACUGAGACACGGUCCAGACUCCUACGGGAGGCAGCAGUGGGGAAUAUUGCACAAUGGGCGCAAGCCUGAUGCAGCCAUGCCGCGUGUAUGAAGAAGGCCUUCGGGUUGUAAAGUACUUUCAGCGGGGAAGAAGGUGUUGUGGUUAAUAACCACAGCAAUUGACGUUACCCGCAGAAGAAGCACCGGCUAACUCCGUGCCAGCAGCCGCGGUAAUACUGAGGGUGCAAGCGUUAAUCGGAAUUACUGGGCGUAAAGCGCACGCAGGCGGUCUGUCAAGUCGGAUGUGAAAUCCCCGGGCUCAACCUGGGAACUGCAUUCUAAACUGGCAUGCUAGAGUCUUGUACAGGGGGGUAGAAUUCCUGUGUAGCG